rnacentral:misc_RNA from 1 species
GAGAAGACGCAGCGAAAUGCGAUAAGUAAUGUGAAUUGCAGAAUUCAGUGAAUCAUCGAGUCUUUGAACGCACAUUGCGCCCCCUGGUAUUCCGGGGGGCAUGCCUGUCCGAGCGUCAUUGCUGCCCUCAAGCACGGCUUGUGUGUUGGGCCCCGUCCCCUCCCCCGGGGACGGGCCCGAAAGGCAGCGGCGGCACCGUGUCCGAUCCUCGAGCGUAUGGGGCUUUGUCACCCGCUCUGUAGGCCCGGCCGGCGCCAGCCGACACCCAACUUUUAUUUCUAAGGUUGACCUCGGAUCAGGUAGGGAUACCCGCUGAACUUAAGCAUAUCAAUAAGCGGAGGA